GAUGAACGCUAGCGGGAGGCUUAAUACAUGCAAGUCGAGCGAGAAUGUUUGUGCUUGCACAGACAGGACAGCGGCGCACGGGUGAGUAACGCGUACACAAUCUACCAUAUACAGGAGGAUAGCCCCGGGAAACUGGGAUUAAUACUCCAUGGCCCCUAAGACAGGCAUCUGUUUAAGGGUAAAGCUCCGGCGGUAUAUGAUGAGUGUGCGUACUAUUAGUUAGUUGGUGAGGUAACGGCUCACCAAGACGAUGAUAGUUAGGGGGCGUGAGAGCGUGAUCCCCCACACGGGUACUGAGACACGGACCCGACUCCUACGGGAGGCAGCAGUAAGGAAUAUUGGGCAAUGGAGGCAACUCUGACCCAGCCAUCCCGCGUGCAGGAUGACGGCGCUACGCGUUGUAAACUGCUUUUGUGUAAGAUGAAACCUAGGGAUUUAUCCUUAGCUGACGUUAUUACAAGAAUAAGCACCGGCUAACUCCG
rnacentral:rRNA from 1 species